rnacentral:rRNA from 1 species
CGGCAGCACGGGGGGCGACCCUGGUGGCGAGCGGCGAACGGGUGAGUAAUGCAUCGGACGUGCCCUGUUGUGGGGGAUAACACAUCGAAAGAUGUGCUAAUACCGCAUGAGACCUGAGGGUGAAAGCGGGGGAUUGGAAACGACCUCGCGCGACAGGAGCGGCCGAAGUCCGAUUAACUAGUUGGGUGAAGGAAAGGCUCCCCCAAGGCGACGAUCGGUAGCUGGUCUGAAAAGAUGAUCAGCCACACUGGGAACUGAGACACGGCCCAACUCCUACGGGAAGGCACAGUGGGGAAUUUUGGAACAUGGGGCCCAAGCCUGAUCCAGCCAUUCCGCGUGAGUGAAGAAAGGCCUUCGGGUUGUAAAGCCCCUUUCGGCAGGAACGAAACGGGUUGUCUCUAACAUAGACGGCUACUGACGGUACCUGAAAGAAGAAGCACCGGCUAACUACGUGCCAGCAGCCGCGGUAAUACGUAGGGUGCGAGCGUUAAUCGGAAUUACUGGGCGUAAAGCGUGCGCAGGCGGUUGUGUAAGACAGAUGUGAAAUCCCCCGGGCUCAACUUGGGGAACUGCGGUUGUGACUGGCCCCACUGGGAGUGUGGGUAGAGGGGGG